UUACGACCACAUCACGUUGAAACACUUGCUCCCGUACGAUCACCGAAGCUGAGCAACAUCGAGCCUGGUCAGUACCAAGAUGGGUGACUGCUUGGGAAUACCCGUUGCU